CCUACGGGAGGCAGCAGUGAGGAAUAUUGGUCAAUGGACGAGAGUCUGAACCAGCCAAGUAGCGUGAAGGAUGACUGCCCUAUGGGUUGUAAACUUCUUUUAUAUGGGAAUAAAACGUUCCACGUGUGGGAUUUUGUAUGUACCAUAUGAAUAAGGAUCGGCUAACUCCGUGCCAGCAGCCGCGGUGAUACGGAGGAUUCGAGCGUUAUCCGGUUUUAUUGGGUUUAAAGGGAGCGUAGGGGGGUUGUUAAGUCAGUUGUGAAAGUUUGCGGCUCAACCGUAAAAUUGCAGUUGAAACUGGCAGUCUUGAGUACAGUAGAGGUAGGCGGAAUUCGUGGUGUAGCGGUGAAAUGCUUAGAUAUCACGCAGAACUCCGAUUGCGAAGGCAGCUCACUGGACUGCAACUGACACUGAGGCUCGAAAGUGUGGGUAUCGAACAGGAUUAGAUACCCCAGUAGUC
rnacentral:rRNA from 1 species